rnacentral:rRNA from 1 species
UACGUAGGGUGCAAGCGUUGUCCGGAAUUAUUGGGCGUAAAGAGCUCGUAGGCGGUUUGUCGCGUCGGCUGUGAAAACCUGGGGCUCAACCCCGGGUCUGCAGUCGAUACGGGCGGACUGGAGUUCGGCAGGGGAGACUGGAAUUCCUGGUGUAGCGGUGAAAUGCGCAGAUAUCAGGAGGAACACCGGUGGCGAAGGCGGGUCUCUGGGCCGAUACUGACGCUGAGGAGCGAAAGCGUGGGGAGCGAACAGG